rnacentral:rRNA from 2 species
GUACGUGCUUCGGCGCGAACAAUAUACAUUAAACUAUAGAGACCGCUGUUUCUUCUUUAAACCAGAGGAAGGAUACGGCAAUAACAGGUCUGUGAUGCCCUCAGAUGUUCCGGGCUGCACACGUGCUACAAUGAUCAUUGCACUGUGCAUCUAACCCAAUGUGCGUGGACGCCGCAUGCAUGUGCCUUCGGGUACACGCAUUGCUGUUGCGACCACGCCGAACCUACUUCGAAAGUAAAAUUUCUCAGUGGGUAAUCCAUUAGAAGUAAUGACUCGCAUAGACCAUGGCACAACUAAAUGUACGCGCAGGUUCUACCCGGCUCGCCUUUGUGUGAGUGCAGUGCGUAGCUUGUUGUUUCGUACGUGCCACUCCGUAUUAAUUCGUACGUGGGGAUAGAUCAUUGUUUAAUUGUUGGUCUCGGUCUUAACUAGGAAUGCCUUGUACGGGUCUCUGGUUCAACAUACCACCCGGAAUACGUCCCUGCCCUUUGUACACACCGCCCGUCGCUCUUACCGAUGGAUUAUGCUAUGAAUCUAUAGGACUGCCAAAGCUUGUAUGMGCUUAGUGGAAAUAUAUAUGAAUAGCGUAUCUAACG